AUACGGAGGGGGUUAGCGUUGUUCGGAAUUACUGGGCGUAAAGCGCGCGUAGGCGGCUACUUAAGUCAGAUGUGAAAUCCCCGGGCUCAACCUGGGAACUGCAUCUGAUACUGGGUAGCUAGAGUUUAGGAGAGGGAAGUAGAAUUUCAGGUGUAGCGGUGAAAUGCAUAGAGAUCUGAAGGAAUACCAGUGGCGAAGGCGGCUUCCUGGCCUAAAACUGACGCUGAGGUGCGAAAGCGUGGGUAGCAAACGGGAUUAGAAACCCCGGUAGUCC
rnacentral:rRNA from 1 species